rnacentral:tRNA from 3 species
UAAAAAUUAGUUAAAUUAAUAACAUAAGCUUGUCAAGCUUAAAUAAUUGCUUCAAGCAAUAUUUUUAU